ACCCGGAUAAGUCCUAUACGGCCAGCUCCUUGGGAAUCCUCCAGGGCUUGACCGCAGCAAAGGUACCAGGUCGUAGCGGCGCGAUAUAGUAAGCUUAUCCACC
rnacentral:SRP_RNA from 1 species